rnacentral:rRNA from 1 species
UGGCGGACGGGUGAGUAAUGUCUGGGAAACUGCCCGAUGGAGGGGGAUAACUACUGGAAACGGUAGCUAAUACCGCAUAACGUCGCAAGACCAAAGAGGGGGACCUUGGGCCUCUUGCCAUCGGAUGUGCCCAGAUGGGAUUAGCUAGUAGGUGGGGUAACGGCUCACCUAGGCGACGAUCCCUAGCUGGUCUGAGAGGAUGACCAGCCACACUGGAACUGAGACACGGCCCAG